rnacentral:rRNA from 1 species
GACGAACGCUGGCGGCGUGCCUAAUACAUGCAAGUCGAGCGGACCAAACAGGAGCUUGCUCUUGUUUGGUUAGCGGCGGACGGGUGAGUAACACGUGGGUAACCUGCCCGUAAGACCGGGAUAACUCCGGGAAACCGGAGCUAAUACCGGAUAACACCGAAGACCGCAUGGUCUUUGGUUGAAAGGCGGCUUCGGCUGCCACUUACGGAUGGGCCCGCGGCGCAUUAGCUAGUUGGUGAGGUAACGGCUCACCAAGGCGACGAUGCGUAGCCGGCCUGAGAGGGUGACCGGCCACACUGGGACUGAGACACGGCCCAGACUCCUACGGGAGGCAGCAGUAGGGAAUCUUCCGCAAUGGACGAAAGUCUGACGGAGCGACGCCGCGUGAGCGAAGAAGGUCUUCGGAUCGUAAAGCUCUGUUGUUAGGGAAGAAGAAGCGCCGUUCGAACAGGGCGGCGCGGUGACGGUACCUAACGAGAAAGCCCUGGCUAACUACGUG